rnacentral:rRNA from 1 species
AGAACGAACGUUAGCGGCGCGCCUAACACAUGCAAGUCGCACGAGAAAGGGCUUCGGCCCCGGUACAGUGGCGCACGGGUGAGUAACACGUGGGUAAUGUUCCCUCAGGCAGGGGAUAACCUUCCGAAAGGAGGGCUAAUACCGUGUAAGACCACGGCCUCGAAAGAGGCUGAGGUAAAAGCAGGCCUCUUCACGAAAGCUUGCGCCAGAGGAUCAGCCCGCGGCCCAUCAGCUAGUUGGUAGGGUAACGGCCUACCAAGGCUAAGACGGGUAGCUGGUCUGAGAGGAUGAUCAGCCACACUGGAACUGAGACACGGUCCAGACUCCUACGGGAGGCAGCAGUGGGGAAUUUUGCGCAAUGGGGGAAACCCUGACGCAGCAACGCCGCGUGGAGGAUGAAAUAUCUUGGUAUGUAAACUCCUUUCGAUGGGGAAGAUUAUGACGGUACCCAUAGAAGAAGCCCCGGCUAACUUCGUGCCAGCAGCCGC